UUCUCUUUACCUUUCUUCUCUUGUCAUUAUUCGUUUUCCCUUUUGUUUUUCUUUUUUCAUCUACUGUUUUUUUUUCUUUUCUUUUUUUCUUUUUUUUUCAUAUUUUUUUCCUCUUUUUUUUUUUUUCUUUUAUUUUUUCUUUUUUUCUUUUUCUGUUUUUUUAUUUCUUUUUUCUUUUUUUCUUUUUUUUUCUUUUCUCUUUUUCUCUUUUUUUUCAUUUUUCUCUUUUUACUCUUUUUUGUUUCAUUUUUUUUUCUUUUCUCUUUUUCUCUUUUUUUCAUUUUUUUCUCUUUUUACUCUUUUUGUUCAUUUUUUUCUUUUUUUCUUUUCAUUUUUUCUCUUUUUCUUAUUUUUCUUUUCUUUUUUUCUCUUUUUUUUCAUAUUUUUUGUUCUUAUUUUUUCUUUUCUUUUUUCAUCAUAGGUUUGCCUUCAGCCCUCCCUCAGCCCUUCCCUCCGCUCUGCUCUUCACCCAUCCCCUCGCCCAUCCCCAUCCCUUCUUCUCCCUUACCCCCCCCUUUCCCCUUGCCUUUGCCUCCCAUUACCUUGCCUGCCCUUCACUUACCUUCUCCUCACUUCCUGCUUCUUGAUGCUCUGGGCUUUUGCUGCUACUUCACGCCAAACCUCAACACUUGCCUACUCUGCUGCUGCUCUGCCAAGUUGCUCUCUACUCUGCUCGCAGCUUCACGCCUACUGCCUGCCCUUCUCUAUCCCCUUCUCGUGCCCUUCAGGCUUUUCCUCCCCUUGCUGAGCAAGGCCAUGCCCGGUAGCUACCCUUGAACCUCCUCCGCCCCUUUGCCUUCCUCCACAGGAGAUGCUUGCUUCUGGCCAGCACUCCUGCCGGUGCCUAGCCCACCACCUCAU
rnacentral:lncRNA from 7 species